AGAGAGUGCUAGUCUGGGAGAUGUACCUUGGCUUCAGUGUCCACUACUAGCUUUUUUGGUUUGUGGGGGUUUUUUUUCUAUCUGCUUUUGGGCCUGAAUUCUUUUCUAAGCAAACAUUUCUGAAUUUGUGUAUAAUUCAGAAUAUUCUGGAGUCUUUUUUUACUGUGUUAGUUUGUGGGAGGAAAAAAGGACAACAAAAACUUUCAAAUGUGUCAGUUUCUGUGAUGUUAGAAAACAAGAAAAUUGGUUGCUCAUUUUUAAAUUUUUUUUCUCAUGGUUUUAUCUAUGAGAAGGUAAGGAGAGAGGGGCUUUAAGCUUUAGCAGGAAAUACCCUUGUUUUUCCAGCUCCUGCAGUCUUGGCUCAGUAAGGCACCUUGUUAGCAGUACCAGGUCACCAUGCCCAAGAAAUCUCACACCACUGGAAGGAGUCCCAAAUACUCUUGUCCAAACACUCCCCCAGCUCACCCUUGUAUCAUCCACACAAAGCAGCCCUAACAUCAGAUUAAAUGGCCUCCAGAUGAUCCCCAGCUUGGGGAGACACUUGGUAUCGAGAAAAAUCAGUUUGACAACAGUCAUGUGGACCAAGGUGGCUUGAAACAGGAAUGGAAGCAGUGAUAGCAGACCAUUGCAGCUCCACUCAUCUGAUGUUACAGGCUGGAAAAGUGAGAAGGUGUCUGGGAGGAAGAGCCAUUUUCUUUUAAUCAAUUAUUAACUGGUUCUUAUCUGGAUGAGAUAUGGAUACCAUCAAACUCCACUGUGAAAUGAAGCUGUUACUGAACACUCAACUGAGAAUCUCAACAGAUUUUUGAAGUUACAUCUGUAUGAAAAGAAUUAAGCCAAAAUUGUUUUUGCUGGAAGUCGCCAGUUCUAAAUAAAACUUGUAGCAGGAAAAUCCCUAUUACAUACUGCAUCAGUUGACAAGUCAAUAAACUGAAUU